rnacentral:rRNA from 1 species
UACGGGGGGAGCAAGCGUUGUUCGGAUUUACUGGGCGUAAAGGGCGCGUAGGCGGCCACCGCAAGUCGACUGUGAAAUCUCCGGGCUUAACCCGGAACGGUCAGCCGAUACUGCAGGGCUAGAGUGCAGAAGGGGCAACCGGAAUUCUCGGUGUAGCGGUGAAAUGCGUAGAUAUCGAGAGGAACACCUGCGGCGAAGGCGGGUUGCUGGGCUGACACUGACGCUGAGGCGCGAAAGCUAGGGGAGCGAACGGG